rnacentral:rRNA from 1 species
UACGUAGGGGGCAAGCGUUGUCCGGAAUCACUGGGCGUAAAGCGCGCGUAGGCGGCCCGGUAAGUCCGUUGUGAAAGUCAAAGGCUCAACCUUUGAACGCCGAUGGAUACUGCCGGGCUAGAGUCCGGAAGAGGCGAGUGGAAUUCCUGGUGUAGCGGUGGAAUGCGCAGAUAUCAGGAGGAACACCAAUAGCGAAGGCAGCUCGCUGGGACGGUACUGACGCUGAGGCGCGAAAGCGUGGGGAGCGAACAGG